GGUUCGAUGGCGUAGUUGGUUAUCGCAUCUGUCUAACAUCGAAAUAUGCUCAAUCUUACACAGAAGGUCCCCGGUUCGAGCCCGGGUCGAAUCA